rnacentral:rRNA from 1 species
GAUGAACGCUAGCGGCAGGCCUAAUACAUGCAAGUCGAACGGUGUAGCAAUACACAGUGGCGCACGGGUGCGUAACACGUAUGCAACCUACCUAUCAUUGGGGGAUAGCCUUUGGAAACGGAGAUUAAUACCGCAUAAGACAGUAGCAUGGCAUCAUGCAGCUGUUAAAGCUUUGGCGAUGAUAGAUGGGCAUGCGUCCAAUUAGUUAGUUGGUGAGGUAACGGCUCACCAAGACGAUGAUUGGUAGGGGAUCUGAGAGGAUAAUCCCCCACACUGGCACUGAGAUACGGGCCAGACUCCUACGGGAGGCAGCAGUAGGGAAUAUUGGGCAAUGGACGGAAGUCUGACCCAGCCAUGCCGCGUGCAGGAAGAAGGCGUUAUGCGUUGUAAACUGCUUUUUUAUAGGGAGAAGGAGACCUUGCGAGGUUUGGUGACGGUACUAUAAGAAUAAGCACCGGCUAACUCCGUGCCAGCCGCCGCGGUAACAC